GAUGAACGCUGGCGGCGUGCCUAAUACAUGCAAGUCGAGCGAACGGGCGAGAAGCUUGCUUCUCUGAUGUUAGCGGCGGACGGGUGAGUAGCACGUGGAUAACCUACCUAUAAGACUGGGAUAACUUCGGGAAACCGGAGCUAAUACCGGAUGAUAUUUUGAACCGCAUGGUUCAAAAGUGAAAGACGGUCUUGCUGUCACUUAUAGAUGGAUCCGCGCUGCAUUAGCUAGUUGGUAAGGUAACGGCUUACCAAGGCAACGACGCAUAGCCGACCUGAGAGGGUGAGCGGCCACACUGGAACUGGGACUCGGUCCAGACUCCUACGGCAGGCAGUAGUAGGGAAUCUUCCGCAAUGGGCGCAAGCCUGACGGAGCAACGCCGCGUGAGUGAUGAAGGUCUUCGGAUCGUAGAACUAUGUUAUUAGGGAAGAACAUAUGUGUAAGUAACUGUGCACAUCUUGACGGUACCUAAUGAGAAAGCCACGGCUAACUACGUG
rnacentral:rRNA from 1 species